rnacentral:rRNA from 1 species
AGAACGAACGCUGGCGGCAGGCUUAACACAUGCAAGUCGAGCGCCUCGCAAGAGGAGCGGCAGACGGGUGAGUAACACGUGGGAACGUGCCCAAAGGUACGGAACAACUCCGGGAAACUGGAGCUAAUACCGUAUGUGCCCGAAAGGGGAAAGAUUUAUCGCCUUUGGAUCGGCCCGCGUCUGAUUAGCUAGUUGGCGGGGUAAUGGCCCACCAAGGCGACGAUCAGUAGCUGGUCUGAGAGGAUGACCAGCCACAUUGGGACUGAGACACGGCCCAAACUCCUACGGGAGGCAGCAGUGGGGAAUAUUGGACAAUGGGCGCAAGCCUGAUCCAGCCAUGCCGCGUGAGUGAUGAAGGCCUUAGGGUUGUAAAGCUCUUUCGCCGAGGACGAUAAUGACGGUACUCGGAUAAGAAGCCCCAGCUAACUUCGUGCCAGCAGCCGC